CGCGUAGGCGGGGGAGCAAGUCCGCUGUGAAAGCCCGAGGCUUAACCUCGGAGGGUCGGUGGAUACUGCUUCUCUUGAAGAGGCUAGGGGGAGAUGGAAUUACCGGUGUAGCGGUGAAAUGCGUAGAGAUCGGUAGGAACACCAGUGGCGAAGGCGGUCUCCUGGAGCCCUCUUGACGCUGAGGCGCGAAAGCUGGGGGAGCGAACG
rnacentral:rRNA from 1 species